rnacentral:rRNA from 1 species
UACGGAGGGGGGCUAGCGUUGUUCGGGAAUUACUGGGCGUAAAGCGCACGUAGGCGGCUUUGUAAGUUAGAGGUGAAAGCCCGGGGCUCAACUCCGGAAUUGCCUUUAAGACUGCAUCGCUAGAAUUGUGGAGAGGUAAGUGGAAUUCCGAGUGUAGAGGUGAAAUUCGUAGAUAUUCGGAAGAAACACCAGUGGCGAAGGCGGCCAUCUGGACGUCUACUGACGCUGAGACGGCGAAAAGCCAGGGGGAGCCGAACGGG